UACGUAUGGGGCAAGCGUUAUCCGGAUUUACUGGGUGUAAAGGGAGCGUAGGCGGCCUGGCAAGCCUGAUGUGAAAUACCGGGGCCCAACCCCGGGGCUGCAUUGGGAACUGCCAGGCUGGAGUGUCGGAGAGGCAGGCGGAAUUCCUAGUGUAGCGGUGAAAUGCGUAGAUAUUAGGAGGAACACCAGUGGCGAAGGCGGCCUGCUGGACGGUGACUGACGCUGAGGCUCGAAAGCGUGGGGAGCAAACAGG
rnacentral:rRNA from 1 species